UACGUAGGUGGCGAGCGUUGUCCGGAAUUACUGGGUGUAAAGGGCGCGUAGGCGGGAAUGCAAGUCAAAUGUGAAAUCCCAAGGCUUAACCUUGGAACUGCAUCUGAAACUGCGUUUCUUGAGUGUCGGAGAGGAAAGCGGAAUUCCCCGUGUAGCGGUGAAAUGCGUAGAUAUGGGGAGGAACACCGGUGGCGAAGGCGGCUUUCUGGACGAUAACUGACGCUGAGGCGCGAAAGCGUGGGUAGCAAACAGG
rnacentral:rRNA from 1 species